rnacentral:rRNA from 1 species
GAUGAACGCUGGCGGCGUGCCUAAUACAUGCAAGUCGAGCGAACGGACGAGAAGCUUGCUUCUCUGAUGUUAGCGGCGGACGGGUGAGUAACACGUGGAUAACCUACCUAUAAGACUGGGAUAACUUCGGGAAACCGGAGCUAAUACCGGAUGAUAUUUUGAACCGCAUGGUUCAAAAGUGAAAGACGGUCUUGCUGUCACUUAUAGAUGGAUCCGCGCUGCAUUAGUUAGUUGGUAAGGUAACGGCUUACCAAGGCAACGAUGCAUAGCCGACCUGAGAGGGUGAGCGGCCACACUGGAACUGAGACACGGUCCAGACUCCUACGGGAGGCAGCAGUAGGGAAUCUUCCGCAAUGGGCGAAAGCCUGACGGAGCGACGCCGCGUGAGUGAUGAAGGUCUUCGGAUCGUAAAAAUCUGUUAUUAGGGAAGAACAUAUGUGUAAGUAACUGUGCACAUCUUGACGGUACCUAAUCAGAAAGCCACGGCUAACUACGUG